UCCCAGUACUCUCUCCCUCAUUACUAUCAGAAUAACGAGGGCUAGAGUACUAGGUGA
rnacentral:pre_miRNA from 1 species